UAAAACCCUCAUGCAUCCUCAUCUAUUUAAUUCUUUCCCAACCUUUCACCUACCCUCAACCAAAGUAAGUACCCAGGCAAGGCCUGUACUUCUUUGGCCAUAUGGGGUGGCUCAAGUCCCUCCUCUCCCCAUUGAAGAAAAUCUGGAAUCGUCUUCACUCCAGCCACAGAGAGCGCAGGGGGAUUUACAUAUUGUACAAGGACGUGAAGUCCUGCCCAUGCGAAGAUGUGCAGGUUCUAUGGUCAAUACUGGUCGAGUCACGAACACGGCCUUCUUUGCCGUCAACAUGAUCAGCUAGCAUGAUCAUGAUAGAGCAAACCAUGAGCAAGAACGUCGAUGAUAUUGCAUGCAGCAGUACCAUGUUCAGCACUUGAUGUACAUAUAUAAGUAUUAUAUAUAAUAUGCUACAUUAUAUAUUAUACUUACGACAAAUCAAACCAGCUUUUUCUAUUUCUUACUCAUGUACGUACGUACUUAAUUCCCGUAUGAUCAUGUGCCAUACAUGCAUCUGUACCUACUCUAGCACUUCUUCUUCAUGAUGUACAGGCUUGCUGACAAUUAUAAGAUCAGUUUUCUUUGGUGAUCGAAAUAA